UACAGGGGUCUCAAGCGUUGUUCGGAUUCAUUGGGCGUAAAGGGUGCGUAGGCGGCGCGGUAAGUCGGGUGUGAAAUCUCGGAGCUUAACUCCGAAACUGCAUUCGAUACUGCCGUGCUUGAGGACUGGAGAGGAGACUGGAAUUUACGGUGUAGCGGUGAAAUGCGUAGAUAUCGUAAGGAAGACCAGUGGCGAAGGCGGGUCUCUGGACAGUUCCUGACGCUGAGGCACGAAAGGUCAGGGGGAGCAAAACGGGG
rnacentral:rRNA from 1 species